CCUACGGGAGGCAGCAGUGGGGAAUAUUGCGCAAUGGGCGAAAGCCUGACGCAGCGACGCCGCGUGAGGGAUGAAGGUCUUCGGAUCGUAAAGCUCUGUCAGCAGGGAAGAACGGUCACUGUGCUAAUCAGCAGUGAAUUGACGGUACCGGCAAAGGAAGCACCGGCUAACUCCGGGCCAGCAGCCGCGGGAAUACGGAGGGGGCGAGCGUUAAUCGGAAUUACUGGGCGUAAGGGGAUCGUAGGCGGUAUGUCAAGUCAAGGGUGAAAUCCCCGCGCUCAACGUGGGAACUGCCUUUGAAACUGGCAAACUGGAGUGUAGGAGAGGAUAGUGGAAUUCCAGGUGUAGGAGUGAAAUCCGUAGAUAUCUGGAGGAACAUCAGUGGCGAAGGCGACUAUCUGGCACAUAACUGACGCUGAGGAGCGAAAGCGUGGGUAGCAAACAGGAUUAGAUACCCGAGUAGUC
rnacentral:rRNA from 1 species